GCUCAGGAUAUGUCAUAACGGGGUACCUAUAGGGUUUACGGGUGACUAAAUAGUGAGCAAUCUGCCCCUGCUACAGGGGUAAGGGCUGGAAACGGCGUCUAAUACCGGAUACGAGCUGCGACCGCAUGGUCAGUAACUGGAAAGAAUUUCGGUCAGGGAUGAGCUCGCGGCCUAUCAGCUUGUUGGUGAGGUAAUGGCUCACCAAGGCGUCGACGGGUAGCCGGCCUGAGAGGGUGACCGGCCACACUGGGACUGAGACACGGCCCAGACUCCUACGGGAGGCAGCAGUGGGGAAUAUUGCACAAUGGGCGCAAGCCUGAUGCAGCAACGCCGCGUGAGGGAUGACGGCCUUCCGGUUGUAAACCUCUUUUAACAUGGAAGAAACGAAAGUGACGGUACCUGCAGAAAAAGCGCCGGCUAACUACGUGGCGGCAACCGCGGUAAUACGUAUGGCCCAAGCGUUAUCCGGAAUUAAUGGGGUUUUAAGAGGUUCCAAGGAGUCUGGCCCGGCCUCCCGCAAAAACCGGGGCUCCACCUCUGGUCUGGGAUGGGUAACCGCCGAACUAAAUUGCCGAAGGGGAAAUUAAUGAAUUCUGGUGUAGCGGUGGAAUGGCAGAUAUCAGGACGGAACACUGAUGCGCGAAGGCAGAUGUGUGGGCCGUAACUGACGAUGGAGGAGAGAAAGGGUGGGGAUGCAAACAGGCUUAGAUACCUUGGUAGUCCACCCCGUAAACGUUGGGAACUAGUUGUGGGGUCAACAUUCCACGGAUUCCGUGACCGCAGCUAACGCAUUAAGUUCCCCGCCUGGGGAGUACGGCCGCAAGGCUAAAACUCAAAGGACAUUGACGGGGACCCGCACAAGCGGCGGAGCAUGCGGAUUAAUUCGAUGCAACGCGAAGAACCUUACCAAGGCUUGACAUAUAGAGGAAACGUCUGGAAACAGUCGCCCCGCAAGGUCUCUAUACAGGUGGUGCAUGGUUGUCGUCAGCUCGUGUCGUGAGAUGUUGGGUUAAGUCCCGCAACGAGCGCAACCCUCGUUCUAUGUUGCCAGCACGUAAUGGUGGGAACUCAUGGGAUACUGCCGGGGUCAACUCGGAGGAAGGUGGGGAUGACGUCAAAUCAUCAUGCCCCUUAUGUCUUGGGCUUCACGCAUGCUACAAUGGCCGGUACAAAGGGCUGCAAUACCGUGAGGUGGAGCGAAUCCCAAAAAGCCGGUCCCAGUUCGGAUUGAGGUCUGCAACUCGACCUCAUGAAGUCGUAUUUGGUAGUAAUCGCAGAUCAUAUAUGUUGCCACGAAAACGGUGGAUAGUGUUCCACGCUCUCGGUAUAUGUUGACACAGUGGCGCGUUUGUGCCCCGCGC
rnacentral:rRNA from 1 species